rnacentral:rRNA from 1 species
CAUGCUGCCUAGAAAAGCCCAGCAGCGAGUUGACAUGGUGCCCGUACCCCAAACCAACACAGGUGGACAGGUAGAGCAUACCAAGGCGAGUGGGAUAACUAUGGUUAAGGAACUCGGCAAAUUGCCUCCGUAACUUCGGGAGAAGGAGGACCCCAGUAGCGUGAUGAGACUUGCUCUCUGAGCGUGAAGGGGUGGCACAAAAUUGAGGGAAGCGACUGUUUACCAAAAACACAGCAGCGUGCUAAGCCGUAAGGCGCUGUAUACGCUGUGACUCCUGCCCGGUGCUGGAAGGUUACGGGGAUGGGUUAGUCCUUCGGGACGAAGCUCUGAACCUAAGCCCCAGUAAACGGCGGCCGUAACUAUAACGGUCCUAAGGUAGCGAAAUUCCUUGUCGGGUAAGUUCCGACCUGCGCGAAUGGAGUAACGACUUCCCUACUGUCUCAACCAUAGACCCAGCGAAAUUGAAGUACGAGUAAAGAUGCUCGUUAGCUGCAGAAGGACGGAAAGACCCCGUGGACCUUUACUAUAACUUGAUGUUGUGUUUUGUCAUAUGUUGUGUAGGAUAAGUGGGAGACUUGGAAGCAUGGACGCUAGUCUGUGUGGAGUCAUCGUUGAAAUACCACCCUGCAUAUGGUGAGGCUCUAACCUAGACCCGUUAUCCGGGUUGGGGACAGUGUCAGGCGGGUAGUUUAACUGGGGCGGUUGCCUCCUAAAGAGUAACGGAGGCGCCCAAAGGUUCCCUCAGCCUGGUUGGCAAUCAGGCGUUGAGUGCAAUGGCAAAAGGGAGCUUGACUGCGAGACCUACAAGUCGGGCAGGAGCGAAAGCUGGGCAUAGUGAUCCGGCGGUUGCGUGUGGAAGCGCCGUCGCUCAACGGAUAAAAGGUACCCCGGGGAUAACAGGCUAAUCUUGCCCAAGCGUCCAUAGCGACGGCAAGGUUUGGCACCUCGAUGUCGGCUCAUCGCAUCCUGGGGCUGAAGCAGGUCCCAAGGGUUGGGCUGUUCGCCCAUUAAAGCGGUACGCGAGCUGGGUUCAGAACGUCGUGAGACAGUUCGGUCCCUAUCCUCUGCAGCCGGAGGUGAAUUGAGGAAAGCUGUCCCUAGUACGAGAGGACCGGGACGGACGCAGCUCUCGUGUGCCAGUUGUCCUGCCAAGGGCAUGGCUGGUUAGCGACCUGCGGAAAGGAUAACCGCUGAAAGCAUCUAAGCGGGAAGCCUCUUCCAAGAUGAAUUCACCCACAGGGUUAACCUGGUAAGGCCCGUGGUAGACCACCACGUUGAUAGGCCGGAAGUGUAAGCGUGGCAACACGUUCAGCUGACCGGUACUAAUCGGCCGAGGGCUUGAGUUG